rnacentral:rRNA from 1 species
GAUGAACGCUGGCGGCGUGCCUAAUACAUGCAAGUCGAGCGAACGGACGAGAAGCUUGCUUCUCUGAUGUUAGCGGCGGACGGGUGAGUAACACGUGGAUAACCUACCUAUAAGACUGGGAUAACUUCGGGAAACCGGAGCUAAUACCGGAUAAUAUUUUGAACCGCAUGGUUCAAAAGUGAAAGACGGUCUUGCUGUCACUUAUAGAUGGAUCCGCGCUGCAUUAGCUAGUUGGUAAGGUAACGGCUUACCAAGGCAACGAUGCAUAGCCGACCUGAGAGGGUGAUCGGCCACACUGGAACUGAGACACGGUACAGACUCCUACGGGAGGCAGCAGUAGGGAAUCUUCCGCAAUGGGCGAAAGCCUGACGGAGCAACGCCGCGUGAGUGAUGAAGGUCUUCGGAUCGUAAAACUCUGUUAUAGGGAAGAACAUAUGUGUAAGUAACUGUGCACAUCUUGACGGUACCUAAUCAGAAAGCCACGGCUAACUACGU